rnacentral:tRNA from 1 species
GGAGCUCAGCAGAAGAGCAUCAGCUUUGCACACAGAAGGUCCCAGGUUCAAUCCCUGCCAUCUCCA